rnacentral:tRNA from 1 species
GGAAUGGCCCAAUGGUAGAGCACGUGCUUAGCAUGCAUGAGGUUCUGGGUUCGAUCCCCAUUACCUCCA